rnacentral:rRNA from 1 species
UUACCCACUCCCGGCACGGGGAGGUAGUGACGAAAAAUAACGAUACGGGACUCAUCCGAGGCCCCGUAAUCGGAAUGAGUACACUCUAAACCCUUUAACGAGGAUCANUUGGAGGGCAAGUCUGGUGCCAGCAGCCGCGGUAAUUCCAGCUCCAAUAGCGUAUAUUAAAGUUGUUGCGGUUAAAAAGCUCGUAGUCGAAUUUGUGUCUCGCGCCGCCGGUUCAUNGCUCGCGGUGUUAACUGGCGAGUCGCGAGACGUCCUGCCGGUGGGCUUAGCUCGCAAGGGCGGCCCAACUCAAUCCUGCCGCGGUGCUCUUCAUUGAGUGUCGAGGUGGGCCGGCACGUUUACUUUGAACAAAUUAGAGUGCUUAAAGCAGGCUAAAACUUCGCCUGAAUACUGUGUGCAUGGAAUAAUGGAAUAGGACCUCGGUUCUAUUUUGUUGGUUUUCGGAACUCCGAGGUAAUGAUUAAUAGGAACGGAUGGGGGCAUUCGUAUUGCGACGUUAGAGGUGAAAUUCUUGGAUCGUCGCAAGANGGACAGAAGCGAAAGCAUUUGCCAAAAACGCUUUCAUUGAUCAAGAACGAAAGUUAGAGGUUCGAAGGCGAUCAGAUACCGCCCUAGUUCUAACUAUAAACGAUGCCAGCUAGCGAUCCGUCGACGUUCCUCCGAUGACUCGACGGGCAGCUUCCGGGAAACCAAAGCUUUUGGGUUCCGGGGGAAGUAUGGUUGCAAAGCUGAAACUUAAAGGAAUUGACGGAAGGGCACCACCAGGAGUGGAGCCUGCGGCUUAAUUUGACUCAACACGGGAAACCUCACCAGGCCCGGACACCGGAAGGAUUGACAGAUUGAGAGCUCUUUCUUGAUUCGGUGGGUGGUGGUGCAUGGCCGUUCUUAGUUGGUGGAGCGAUUUGUCUGGUUAAUUCCGAUAACGAACGAGACUCUAGCCUGCUAACUAGGCGUAUUCGACAUCCUAAAGGCCCGCCGGCUCGGGG